rnacentral:rRNA from 1 species
GGCGCGAGCAGCCCUGGGAAGCGCCUCUAGCGCACCGCAUCUGCAUGCGUGGUUUGUCUGCCCUGGCAGUGCCGGGCCCUAAGAAGGGGGUGGGCCGGGCAGUGGUUGGCCGUAUUUAUGGGUGGCGAGGGUCCUUGCCUUGGUUGUUUAGGGGUGGGUUAGAGCAGAGGCUAGCUGGGCUCCGAGCAGCUUGGGAAGAAGGGGUGGCGGAGUUCUACGUCUAGAAGCACUUCUGUGAGUGCCCGUUCUGGUAGUGGGAACUCCACCUCAGCAGACUGUGGUAGCUGUUGCACUUCCGGUUCUAGGUCCUGUUCCUCCCGUAAGGGGGCCUGGUCGUCGCGGAAUAGAAGCGACCGUUCGUCGACCUCCUGCCAGCGUGGGAACGGCUGAUGUUGUAGGUCUUCCUUAGGUGGGAGGUGGACCACGAGGCGGACGCACCACCGUACGUCUAGAAGCACUUCUGGGAGUGGCCGUUCUGGUAGUGAGACCUCCAACUAUCGAGGCUGUGGUAACUGUUGCAGUUCCGAUUCUAGGUCCUGUUCCUCCCGUAAGGGGGCCUGGUCGUCGCGGAAUAGAAGCGACCGUUCGUCGACCUCCUACCAGCGUGGGAUCGGCUGAUGUUGUAGGUCUUCCUCAGGUGGGAAGUGGACCACGAGGCGGAGGCACCACCAGUCAUUAACGGGAUAGCAAACUGGACGACGACGACGACGACAUGGGACACAGCGGAAACAAGUUCACUACAGAGCAAACACACUUCAGCAUGACACAGACGACGAAAUUACCUGGUAGCUCAGGACACCAAACCACGUUUGUCAACGUCCAUGUAGACAUGGCAAUUCAUACUUAUUCAGUUGAAACUUCAUUACACGGACACGAGUAAACGGAAACGUCAAGAACAGACCGAUAUACACCUAAAUACUAGCGGAAAGACCCGACAUCUAGGAUCAAAAACCUAAGACUUACUUACAACUACGCUUGAGCAAUCC